GACGAACGCUGGCGGCGUGCUUAACACAUGCAAGUCGAACGGGCCCGCCCCUGUUUUUGGGGGUGGGUUGAGUGGCGAACGGGUGAGUAUCACGUGAGUAACCUGCCCCCUGCUCCUGGAUAACUGCUUGAAAGGGCGGCUAAUACGGGGUGUGCCGGCUGGUCCGCAUGGGCCUGGUCGGGAUAGUUUCAUCUUCGGGUGUUUCGGUGGGGGAUGGGCUCGCGGCCUAUCAGCUUGUUGGUGGGGUGAUGGCCCACCAAGGCGGUGACGGGUAGCCGGCCUGAGCGGGUGGGCGGCCACACUGGGACUGAGCCACGGCCCAGACUCCUGCGGGAGGCAGCAGUGGGGGGUAUUGCACAAUGGGCGGAAGCCUGAUGCAGCGACGUCGCGUGAGGGAUGGAGGCCUUCGGGUUGUGAACCUCUUUCUCCGGUGGUGAAGGCCCUGUCCGUUGCGGCGGGGUUGACGGUAGCCGGGUAUGAAGCGCCGGCUAACUACGUG
rnacentral:rRNA from 1 species